GGCAGUUAGAGGCGAUGAAGGACGUGUAAGUCUGCGAAAAGCUGUGGUGAGCCGACAAAAUGCAUUUGAGCCACAGAUGUCCGAAUGGGGAAACCCACCUGUUUACAGGUAUCGUUAACUGAAUACAUAGGUUAACGAGGCAAACGAGGGGAACUGAAACAUCUAAGUACCCGGAGGAAAAGAAAUCAACCGAGAUUCCCUUAGUAGCGGCGAGCGAACGGGGACCAGCCGAAUCAGUGUGGUGUAGUGGAAGGCUCUGGAAAGUGCCGGCACAGAGGGUGAUACCCCCGUACGCGAAACACCGCAUUGGACACAUUAAGUAGGGCGGGGCACGUGAAACCUUGUCUGAACAUGGGGGGACCAUCCUCCAAGGCUAAAUACUCCUAACUGACCGAUAGUGAACCAGUACCGUGAGGGAAAGGCGAAAAGAACCCCGGCGAGGGGAGUGAAAUAGAACCUGAAACCGGAUGCGUACAAGCAGUAGGAGCCCUUCGGGGUGACUGCGUACCUUUUGUAUAAUGGGUCAGCGAGUUACGUU
rnacentral:rRNA from 1 species